UUUUGUUUUUCUUCUUCUUCUUGU
rnacentral:sRNA from 1 species